CGAGGCCCGGCGCGCUGGUCCGCAGAGCUGAUGGCGCCCAGCCUCCUCCCGGAGCCCCGGUCUUGGUGUAGCCGGGCGGCCCCUCCCCGGAGGAAGCGCAGCGCGUCGCCCCUGCAGGGCCCCGGGCCUGGUGUCUGCGGCCUGGCAAACUCCCGGUCCCUUUUUCUUCCCUCAUUUUCCAGUUCAUUCUUGGCGUUUCCAAUGGCCAGGGCGCUGAGCUCGUAGGUCGGGCGCGGAGGGCGCGGGCUCGGAGGCUGCAGACUGCGCUCCUCAGUGUGCUGGGCGGCCGGCUGCCUCCGGGGCUGGGGUGGCCGCCGCGGUCUCCAUGGUAACAGCCCCGCCGGCGUCCAGGCCUCUGGGGGAAAAUGCGGCCUACCCGGCCUGCCGCCUCACCCCCAGCCUCACGGCCCGGCCCAAGCCACUAAGGAGCCGGCGUCCGGCCGCCAGCCUGUCUGGCAGCGGGCACCAGUGAAAUCCCACUUUCUGGCUGGAGACACAGAUGGCCUCAAAUGAGAGAGAUGCUAUAUCGUGGUAUCAGAAGAAGAUUGGAGCAUAUGAUCAGCAGAUAUGGGAAAAGUCAAUCGAACAGACUCAGAUUAAGGGCUUCAAAAACAAACCAAAAAAGAUGGGUCACAUAAAGUCAGACUUGAUUGAUGUCGACUUAAUCAGAGGCUCAACAUUUGCCAAAGCCAAGCCUGAGAUUCCAUGGACAUCUUUGACUCGGAAGGGGCUUGUUCGAGUUGUGUUUUUUCCAUUGUUCAGCAGUUGGUGGAUUCAGGUCACCUCUCUAAGAAUCUUUGUUUGGCUGCUACUGCUUUACCUCAUGCAAGUUACAGCGGUCGUAUUAUAUCUUAUGAUGCCUAUUGUGAAUGUGAGUGAAGUGCUUGGACCCUUGUGCCUUAUGCUACUCAUGGGAACUGUCCACUGUCAAAUUGUGUCUACUCAGAUGACAAGACCAUCAGGAAACAAUGGAAAUCGGAGAAGAAGAAAAUUACGAAAAACUGUAAAUGGUGAUGGGAGCCGAGACAAUGGAAAUAACUCCUCUGAUAAAGUCAGAGGGGUAGAAACUCUGGAAUCUGCACCCAAUGUUGGUGGUUUUUGGGGGACUCUCUUUGGCACCAGGGUUAAAAGGGUGAAAUUAAUAUCUAACAAAGGGACUGAAACUGACAAUGACUUGGGCCAUCUCCAUCCUAUCAUAAAGAAGAGACAGAGUCGACCAGAGAUCAGAAUGUGGCAAGCUAGAGAGAAAGCGAAGGUUUCUGAUGGAGAAAAGUGCCGUAGGGAGGCUUAUAGGCAAUUGGGUAAUGGAAUUUCAGAUGAUCUGUCAAGUGAAGAGGAUGGUGAAGCACGGACACAGAUGAUAUUGCUGCGUAGGAGUGUGGAAGGGGCUUCAAGUGACAAUGGUUGUGAAGUUAAGAAUAGAAAAUCAAUACUUUCAAGACACCUAAACUCUCAGGUAAAGAAAACCACUACAAGGUGGUGUCAUAUAGUACGGGAUUCAGAUAGUCUAGCUGAAUCAGAAUUUGAAUCGGCGGCCUUCAGUCAGGGCUCCAGGUCUGGUGUGACUGGUGGCUCUCAGAGCCUUAACUUGUCGAGGAGGGACUCAGAAAGCACCCGCCAUGAUUCAGAGACUGAGGAUAUGUUAUGGGAUGACCUGCUGCAUGGCCCAGAGUGCCGGUCAUCUGUCACUAGUGACAGUGAGGGGGCCCAUGUGAACACCCUCCAUUCAGGGACCAAACAUGACCCCAAAGAAGAUGUUUUUCAGCAGAACCAUUUAUUCUGGCUUCAGAACUCGAGUCCUGCCUCUGAGCGAGUUAGUGCAAUAAUCUGGGAAGGAAAUGAGUGCAAGAAGAUGGACAUGUCUGUGUUGGAGAUAAGCGGCAUCAUCAUGAGCAGGGUCAAUGCAUACCAGCAAGGCGUAGGUUAUCAGAUGCUGGGCAAUGCUGUCACCAUUGGAUUGGCAUUUUUUCCUUUUUUAUAUCGACUUUUCCGUGAGAAGAGCUUUGACCAACUGAAGUCCAUUUCAGGAGAGGAGAUCCUGACUUUCUUCUGUGGAGCACCACCUGUUACACCUGUUGUUAUUUUGUCUAUAAUUAAUUUUUUUGAAAGAUUGUGUCUUACUUGGAUGUUUUUUUUCAUGAUGUGUGUGGCUGAGAGAACAUAUAAGCAGAGAUUUUUAUUUGCAAAACUCUUCAGCCAUAUUACUUCUGCCAGGAAAGCCAGGAAAUAUGAAAUACCUCAUUUCAGACUUAAAAAGGUGGAGAACAUUAAAAUAUGGUUAUCACUGCGUUCCUAUCUAAAGAGACGGGGUCCCCAGCGCUCAGUUGACGUGGUUGUGUCAUCAGUUUUCUUACUGACACUUUCAAUUGCUUUCAUUUGCUGCGCACAGGUUCUUCAAGGCCACAAGACUUUCCUCAAUGAUGCUUACAAUUGGGAGUUUUUAAUCUGGGAAACGGCCUUGCUACUUUUUUUGCUCCGCCUAGCCUCGUUGGGAUCUGAAACCAAUAAGAAGUACAGCAAUGUUUCUAUAUUACUUACUGAACAGAUUAAUUUGUAUCUUAAGAUGGAAAAAAAGCCAAAUAAGAAAGAACAGCUCACUCUAGUAAACAAUGUGUUAAAGCUGUCGACAAAGUUAUUAAAGUUUUGUCUUUGUAGGAGCUGGACACACCAUUUAGACUCUAUGGACUGACAAUGAAUCCCUUAAUCUAUAAUAUCACAAGAGUAGUUAUACUUUCUGCUGUCUCAGGAGUUAUAAGUGAUCUUCUAGGAUUUAACAUAAGACUGUGGAAAAUUAAGUCAUAAGCUGAGUCAUGUGCCUGGACUCUUCCCUGGAUAGCAUCAGUGCUCACCCACUGAGGAGAGAUGGUUCACAGAAACCAGUUGAGAGCCUACCUGCUGGCUCACAUAGACAGGUCUCUCGGCUCAGCCCAUCCUAAUGACCAGAGUUUCCAGAGGAUCAAGUAUUUUCUACCCGGGCGUGCAUGAUAAAAACCUGCACUGUCAUGGUUCUCAAACAAUGUGAAUAGUCAACAGACUAAAGACUGUUAUAGUAACACAAGGAUAGUUUUCUAAGUUAGGACUUUUAUCCUGGACCCUUCAGUACUGUGAUAGUUAUAUUUACUGGAAAUAUUCUUUUGGGUAACCAUAGUAGGUACCCAAAGCAUGAAGCAAUUACCUUUUAUUGGAAAUAAGAAAAUUCAGUACUUUUCUAUUAUAGUCUAUGGAGAUUUCUCUUAUCAAAGAGAGAUCCUGAAUCCAAAUAAAAGAACUUUGC